AACGCACGAGACCUGCGGACCUGCGGAAGGAUCAUUAACGAGUGUAACUUACCCUUUUUUUAAAAGAGGGUAGUACCUCCUGUCCUUUGUAGGCCCCUUUUUAUUGGGGGGCUUUUUAAGACUUUCUGCUUCGGCGGGGUUAUUCCCGCCGGAACACCCUCAAAAAACUCUUCAAAAACUAAUUCAGUCCGAGAAUUUUUGAAAAUAAAAAAAACUUUCAACAACGGAUCUCUAGAUCGG
rnacentral:misc_RNA from 1 species